AACUAACGCUGGCGGCAGGCUUAACACAUGCAAGUCCAACGCACCGCAAGGUGAGUGGCAGACGGGUGAGUAACACGUGGGGAUCUGCCCAAUGGUACGGAAUAGCUCCGGGAAACUGGAAUUAAUACCGUAUGAGCCCGCAAGGGGAAAGAUUUAUCGCCAUUGGAUGAACCCGCGUCGGAUUAGCUAGUUGGUGUGGGAAAGGCGCACCAAGGCGACGAUCCGUAGCUGGUCUGAGAGGAUGAUCAGCCACACUGGGACUGAGACACGGCCCAGCCUCCUACGGGAGGCAGCAGUGGGGAAUAUUGGACAAUGGGCGCAAGCCUGAUCCAGCCAUGCCGCGUGAGUGAUGAAGGCCUUAGGGUUGUAAAGCUCUUUCGCCGACGAAGAUAAUGACGGUAGUCGGAGAAGAAGCCCCGGCUAACUUCGUGCCAGCCGCCGCCGUAAAAC
rnacentral:rRNA from 1 species